ensembl:misc_RNA Metazoa_SRP Metazoan signal recognition particle RNA
ACCGGGCGCAGUGGCACGUGCCUGUAGUCCCAGCUACUCGGGAGGCUGAGGUGGGAGGAUCGCUUGAGUCCAGGAGUUCUGGGCUGUAGUGCACCAUGCCGAUCGGGUGUCUGCACUAAGUUCGGCAUCAAUAUGGUGACCUCCUGGGAGUGGGGGUCCACCAGGUUGCCUAAGGAGGGGUGAACCGGCCCAGGUCGGAAAAGGAACAGGUCAAACUCCCGUGCUGAUCAGUAGUGGGAUUGCACCUGUGAACAGCCACUGCACUCCAGCCUGAGCAAUAUCGCAAGAUCCUGUCUCAA